rnacentral:other from 12 species
UUCACGCAGAAAGCGUCUAGCCAUGGCGUUAGUACGAGUGUCGUGCAGCCUCCAGGCCCCCCCCUCCCGGGAGAGCCAUAGUGGUCUGCGGAACCGGUGAGUACACCGGAAUCGCUGGGGUGACCGGGUCCUUUCUUGGAGCAUCCCGCUCAAUACCCAGAAAUUUGGGCGUGCCCCCGCAAGAUCACUAGCCGAGUAGUGUUGGGUCGCGAAAGGCCUUGUGGUACUGCCUGAUAGGGUGCUCGAGAGU